rnacentral:rRNA from 1 species
CCUACGGGAGGCAGCAGUAGGGAUCUUCCGCAAUGGACGAAAGUCCGACGGAGCAACGCCGCGUGAGUGAUGAAGGUUUUCGGAUCGUAAAGCUCUGUUGUUAGGGAAGAACAAGUGCCGUUCAAAUAGGGCGGCACCUUGACGGUACCUAACCAGAAAGCCACGGCUAACUACGUGCCAGCAGGCGCGGUAAUACGUAGGUGGCAAGCGUUGUCCGGAAUUAUUGGGCGUAAAGGGCUCGCAGGCGGUUUCUUAAGUCUGAUGUGAAAGCCCCCGGCUCAACCGGGGAGGGUCAUUGGAAACUGGGGAACUUGAGUGCAGAAGAGGAGAGUGGAAUUCCACGUGUAGCGGUGAAAUGCGUAGAGAUGUGGAGGAACACCAGUGGCGAAGGCGACUCUCUGGUCUGUAACUGACGCUGAGGAGCGAAAGCGUGGGGAGCGAACAGGAUUAGAUACCCUGGUAGUCCACGCCGUAAACGAUGAGUGCUAAGUGUUAGGGGGUUUCCGCCCCUUAGUGCUGCAGCUAACGCAUUAAGCACUCCGCCUGGGGAGUACGGUCGCAAGACUGAAACUCAAAGGAAUUGACGGGGGCCCGCACAAGCGGUGGAGCAUGUGGUUUAAUUCGAAGCAACGCGAAGAACCUUACCAGGUCUUGACAUCCUCUGACAAUCCUAGAGAUAGGACGUCCCCUUCGGGGGCAGAGUGACAGGUGGUGCAUGGUUGUCGUCAGCUCGUGUCGUGAGAUGUUGGGUUAAGUCCCGCAACGAGCGCAACCCUUGAUCUUAGUUGCCAGCAUUCAGUUGGGCACUCUAAGGUGACUGCCGGUGACAAACCGGAGGAAGGUGGGGAUGACGUCAAAUCAUCAUGCCCCUUAUGACCUGGGCUACACACGUGCUACAAUGGACAGAACAAAGGGCAGCGAAACCGCGAGGUUAAGCCAAUCCCACAAAUCUGUUCUCAGUUCGGAUCGCAGUCUGCAACUCGACUGCGUGAAGCUGGAAUCGCUAGUAAUCGCGGAUCAGCAUGCCGCGGUGAAUACGUUCCCGGGCCUUGUACACACCGCCCGUCACACCACGAGAGUUUGUAACACCCGAAGUCGGUGAGGUAACCUUUAUGGAGCCAGCCGCCGAAG